rnacentral:rRNA from 1 species
GACGUAGGGCGCGAGCGUUGUCCGGAUUUAUUGGGCGUAAAGAGCUCGUAGGCGGCUUGUCGCGUCGACUGUGAAAACCCGCGGCUCAACUGCGGGCCUGCAGCCGAUACGGGCAGGCUAGAGUUCGGUAGGGGAGACUGGAAUUCCUGGUGUAGCGGUGAAAUGCGCAGAUAUCGGGAGGAACACCAAUGGCGAAGGCAGCUCGCUGGGACGGUACUGACGCUGAGACGCGAAAGCGUGGGGAGCAACAGG